rnacentral:lncRNA from 1 species
ACUUCCUUCUCCAGGGCUUCGCUGAACUCUGCACAGACCUCAAUUACAACCCUUAUAAAGCUGGGUUGUGGUCGGGUGCGGUGGCUCAUGCCUGUAAUCCCAGCACUUGGGAGACUGAGGCAUGUGAGUCGCCUGAACCCGGGAGGCAGAGGUUGAAGUGAGCCGAGAUCGUGCCACUGCACUCCAGCCUGGGCGACAGAGCGAGACUCCGUCUCAAAAGGUCUCGUUUUGUCACCCAGGCUGGAUACACUGGCACGUUCAAUAGUUCACGGCAGCCUCGACCUCCCGGGCUCAAGCAACUCUCCCAUCUCAGCAUCCCGAGUAGCUGAGACCACAGAGACGGGGUUUCACCGUGUUAGCCAGGAUCGUCUGGAUCUCCUGACCUCGUGAUCCACCCGCCUUGGCCUCCCAAAGUGCUAGGAUUACAGGCGUGGGACACCGUGCCCAGCCCAGGUCCUUGUGCCCUUCGAGGGUGCAGACGGUGGUCUCUGCAUCUCCUUUGCUCCACGUGCCAGGCACAGGUGCCUGGGAACUACAGAAGAGGUUGAAUAGAAGGCUUAACAAUGAGUUUGGAAGUCAGGCACAGAGGGUUUGACUUCCGGGGGCACCCCUUGCCAGCUGUAUGACCCUGGCAAGUCACUCUUCCUUUCUGCGCCUUGGUCCCUGCAUCUAUAAAUUGCUGUAAGGAUGAAAUUACAUAAUUAUAGGUAAAGCACCUGGCACAGUGAACAGUCCACAAAUCUUAGCUAUAAUAACAAUGACGUCAGUUAAGUAACUCACUUAGAAACAACACUGGCCACUGAAGUGGAGGGCCAGUGAAGUGGAGUCAAGUGCUGGGAGGAAGUCCAGGCCAGCAGGCCAACUUUGGUAUACAAAGAUGUGAAAACACGCUUGGCGUGGUGGCUCACGCCUGUAAUCCCAGCACUUCGGAAGGCCGAAGCAGGCAGAUCACCUGAGGUCAGGAGUUCCAGACCAGCCUGGCCAAGAUGGCGAAACUCUGUCUCUACUAAAAAUAUAAAAAUUAGCCAGGCGUGUUGGCGUGUGCCUGUAGUCCCGGCUACUCCUCGGGAGGCUGAGGCAGGAGAAUCACUUGAACCUGGGAGGCAGAAGUUGCAGUGGGCCGAGAUUGCACCAUUGCACUCCAGCCUGGGUGACAGAGCAAGACCCUGUCUCAAAACAAAAAAACAAAGAUGUGAAAACAGCCAACCACCAGGUGGCAAUCCAUGCAAGAGCCCAGCUGCCGGGUGUGCCCCAGCUUCAAGCCAGACAGACCUCAGACAUCCAGGGCCUGGGGAAGGUCCAGCCCCAAAUGGCAGCCAUCUGAUAGCAGCAAAAGAAAACCUGUGGGCCAGGCGCGGUGGCUCACGCCUGUAAUCUCAGCACUUUGGGAGGCCGCGGCGGGCGGAUCACGAGGUCAGGAGUUCAAGACCAGCUUGGCCAAUAUGGUGAAACCCCAUCUCUACUAAAAAUACAAAAAUUAACUGGGUGUGGUGGCGCAUGCCUGUAGUCCCAGCUACUCAAGAGGCUGAGGCAGAAGAAUCACUUGAAUCUGGGAGGCGGAGGUUACAGUGAGCCGAGAUAGUGCCGCUGCACUCCAGCCUGGGCAACAGAACGAGACUGUCUCAAAAAAAAAAAAAAAGAAAACCUGUGAACCUGGGGGCUGGGGAACAGAGCUCUUGCCCAUGCGAAACAUGGGGUGCUGGGAGAGCUCAUGAAAAUGUACAUCAUUCAUGUGCCAUGCGCUUGCUGAGUACUUCCCAUGCAUAAUUCAAUUUCAGCCUCAUGGCAGCCUUUCUCAGUUGAUGUUGUUAUCCCAGUUCAGAGAGGAGUAAACUGAGGCCCAGAGAAGUUAAAAAACUUGCCCAAGGACAUACAGCUAGUGAGUGGUGGAGCUGGGAUUUGAACCCAGGCAGUCUGUUUCCAGAGAACUGCUUCAGGCCCUCCUGCCCCUAUCAAGAGGCCAGGGCAGGGCAGAGCCUACAGGUGGGACUCCAGGGGUCCAGAGCUGGAUGAUCUACACACAGGGGAUCACAUGAUGCAAGCAGUUUCCGUACAAUGCGUUCUAUUUAGGGUGGGUUGUCCUUCUCCAGAAGGAAGAAUUUCUCCCUGGAGACUGGCCAGAUGCAGCCUGGUGGGUGGCAGUGCAUACAUUCCCAUCUCCUCAGACCUACCUACCAAGAACAGCCGCGCUGAUGAGAGUCCUGUGUCACUGGCGAAAUUGCUUCCAAAUUGCCUUCUUCAUUAACUGUGCAAAUUUGCAUCUUAAUUAGGCUUAAUGGAAUACAAUUACCAGACCCCACGUUUCUCUCUCUGAUUUCAAGCAAGGAUGCCACAGAGACAGGCCAGAAGCCAAAAACGUGGGGCUGGAGGGAGCCUGGUUGGGCUCUCCCUGCAGGAAACCUCGCAUCUGGGAAAGGAGGGGCCAGGCGCUACCCAGCGGGGACUGCACCUGGUACAUCCAGGCUCCUGAACUGAGGAGACCAUGGGAUUUGGAAUCAAGCUUUGGGAAGCCUGCCUCUGCCUCUGACCAGUGGAGGACUGACCCUUUCUGAGCCUCUGUUUUCUCAUUUGUAAAUUGGAGAUGGUGAUAACAUUUACUAUGGGGUAGCUGCAGGGAUCAAAGGUGAUCGCGUGUGUGUUAGCACCUGGUAAAGCACCUAACACGUAGUUUGUUCUCUUUCUCCAUGCCCUCCCUUUUUGAGGCCUACAAGGUUGUGCAGAGCUGAUCCCGGCCUUCCCCUUCGGUGAUUCAGUGAGCGUCAGCUUAUUUCAUCCUCCCUUCCAUGCUCUGGCCAUACACACUUCUGAGUCCUGGGAAGGCUCUAAGCUCCUUCCUGUCUUGUGAGCUUUUCAAGUGCUAUUCCCUCUGCUUGGAACACCUGACCCCUGGUUAGUACCUACUCAUCCUUCCAAUCUCAGCUCAAACAGCACUGUCUCCAGGAAGCCUUCCCUAGCCCCAGAAUAAACUCUCCUAACAUCAUUUAUCUAUGGGAUUAUUUAAUAUGUGUCCCUCUCUCUCCCACAGACAGUAAGCUCCAUGAGUGCAGAGAACACUUCUAUUGUGUUCUCUGUUGCAUCUCCAGCUCCUGGUUCAGGGCUUAUCACAUAGUAGGUCCCAUUCAUGUCUGUUUAAUGGAUGGAUAUGAACAUCCCACUGAGCCUCAGCGAAUGUCAAGUGGGAGCCAUAAUCUCAUCCUUAUGGUGCUGUGAAAUCAUUAAAUGAUUUUUGGCACACAGUAGGUGUUUGACGAAUGAGAUACCUAUUCUCCCAUUCCUUUCAAUUAAGGAAAAGUUAGAAGCAGGCAUAUAGGUAGCUUAAAGGACAGCAUGUUCAUGGAUAGGAACCCCCAAUAUUGUCUAGAUGUCAGUUUUUACCAACUUGAUUUAUAGAUUUAAUGCAACCCCAAUCAAAAUUCCAGCAAGUUAUUUUGUGGAUAUAAGCAAACUGAUUAUGAAGUUUAUAUGGAGAGCAAAAGACCCAGAAUAACCAACACAAUAUUGAGGGAGAAGAGCAAAGUUGGCAGACUGACACUACCCAACUUUAAGACUUACUAUAAAGCUACAGUAAUUAAUAUGGUAUUGGUGAAACAAUAAACAGAGUAAUGGAACAGAAUCCAGAAUCCAGAGAUAAAUCGACAUAAAUACAGUCAAGUUGUUUUUGACAAAAGGGCAAAGUCAAUACAAUGGAGAAAAAUUCUUUUCAGCAAAUGGUGCUGGAACAACUGGACAUCCACAUGCAAAAAAGUACAUCUAGAUACAGACCUUACACCCUUCAGACAAAGUAACUCAAAAUGGACCAUAAGCCUAAGCAUAAAACCAAAAUUAUAAAACUCCUAGAAGAUAACACAGGAGAAAACCUGGAUGACCUUGGGUUGGCAAUGACUUUUUAGAUACAAUACCAAAGGCAUGCUCCUUGAAAGAAAUAAUUAAUUGAGAAGCCAGAAGGCAAAAUGGUACAGCCAUUUUGGAAGACAGUUUGGCCGUUUCUCACAAAACUAAAUAUACUCUUACCAUACCAUGCAGCAAUUAUACUCCUUGGUGUUUACCCAAGACUUGAAAACUUGUGUCUACACAAAAAUCUGCACGAGUGUUUAAAGCAGCUUUAUUUUUAUUUAUAAUUGCCAAAGCUUGGAGGCAAGUAAGAUGUCCUUUGGUAAGUGAAUGGGUAAACUAUGGUUCAUCCAGAUAAUGAGAUACUAUUCAAUGUUAAAAAUAAAUAAGCUAUCAAGCCAUGGGGAGAGAUGGAGGAAACUGACAUGCAUACUAUUAAGUGAAAGAAGCCCAUCUGAAAACGCUACGUACUAUAUGGUUCCAACUGUAUGACGUCCUGGAAAAGGCAAAACUUUGGAAACAGUAAAAAGAUCAAUGGUUAGCAGGAUUUGGGCAGGGGAAGGGAUGAAUAGGCAGAUCACAGAUGAUUUUUAGGAGAGUAAAAAAUGCACGGUAUUAGAAUGAUGGAUACAUAUUAUCCAUUUGUCCAAACCCACAGAAAGUGCAACAUCAAGAGGGAGCCCUCAUGGAAACUGUGGCUCUGGGUGACAAUGAUGUGUCAUGUAGGCUCAUCCGUGGUAACAAAUGCACCACUCUGUGGGGAUGUUGACAGUGCAGGGGACUGUGCAUAUGUGAGGACAGAGGGUACAUGUAAAUCUCUAUAUCUUCAGCAGAAUUUUGCUGUGACCCUAAGACUGCUUGAAGAAAAAUAAAGUCUUCGUUAAAACAAAACAAAACAUCUUGGCUAGGGGAUGGAGGAGGGUGGGGGCCAGGAGGUCAAUACCACAUAGGGUCAGGAUGCUAAAAGCUGGAAGAAGUCUUAGAAAUCAUCUAGUUAAAGUGGCU